CUUUUUUAAACAAAACAUUUUAAUUCCACGCUGAACACGAAAGGCGGUGACACUUCACUGAACAGGGGUUUGGCUUUAUUUUUGAAGAGCACAGGCCAAAAUACUUUUUUUUUUAUUUUCCAAGGGGUACAAACCUGGCAAAUGUCACUCCAAUCUUUCUUGGGUUUUGUCCUAAUUAAUAAACGUUUUGGAACGGAGCUACUGCGCUUCGAUUAAUAUGAGAGUUGGCUUGAAAGCGUACACUUGUUAAUGGUUCUCUUACACACACUACAUACAAAAAGAAACGAUCAAGAAGAUACAAACUGUAAGUCUUGUAAUUUUUUUAAUGUAGCCUUUCUUUAAUUCAGUAACAUUGUAUUGCAAUGCAAUCCGUGCCACAUUUUAUACAAACGUGAAAAACCUCUCAGACAGAGGGCGGUAGUUCUUCCGCGAAUGACUAUGAAGGAAAAAUGCACGGUAGGGCGAGAUCGCUUCUGCGGGUAAAGAUUUGGGAUUUUGACAUGCUCAAGAUAUUCAGUUUCAGAUAACCAGAAAAGCCACUGAUGGGGUAACAAGUUCACAUAUCACCCAUAAUGUUUUAACUGAGAGAGCAGAUCAAUUUAUAGAACUGACCUGGUGGAAAAACUGUGGAUUUUUUUUUUCUUCUAAUAGACAUCCCAAAUGUCAUCUUCACAAUGCAGUUUCAGUAAAAUGAAGUAUAUUACGUAUAUUAAAAGUGCCUUUGAAUUCAUUUGCCCAAAGCUCUCUGCAGUUAUAUUCAGUGGUUACAGUAUGAUACAUAAGAAAUUGUGAAAAUAAAUGUUACUCCUGCCUUA